UACAGAGGUGGCAAGCGUUGUUCGGAUUUAUUGGGUGUAAAGGGCAGGUAGGCGGCAAAUCAAGUCUGUUGUGAAAUCCCAGGGCUCAACCCUGGAACUGCAAUGGAAACUGUUUUGCUUGAGUCUCGGAGAGGUGAUGGGAAUUCUUGGUGUAAGAGUGAAAUCUGUAGAUAUCAAGAGGAAUACCUAUGGCGAAGGCACGUCACUGGCUGAAGACUGACGCUGAGCUGCGAAAGCUGGGGGAGCAAACAGG
rnacentral:rRNA from 1 species